GCUGCAGGAAUUCCCAAUACUAUCGAUACGGGUUGUGGGAGCAAGAGCCCGGAGAUGGAUUCUGAGACACGAAUCCAGGCCCUACGGGGCGCAGCAGGCGCGAAAACUUUACAAUGCAGGCAACUGUGAUAAGGGAACCCCGAGUGCCCGUAUGGACGGGCUGUUCAGGUGCUUAAAAACCACCUGGAGAAAGGGCCGGGCAAGACCGGUGCCAGCCGCCGCGGUAAUACCGGCGGCUCGAGUGGUGGCCACUAUUACUGGGCUUAAAGCGUCCGUAGCUUGGUCGUUAAGCCUCUGGGGAAAUCUUCCGGCUCAACCGGAAGGCGUCUCAGGGGAACUGGCGACCUAGGGAUCGGGAGAGGUGAGAGGUACUCUGGGGGUAGGAGUGAAAUCCUGUAAUCCUCAGGGGACCACCUGUGGCGAAGGCGUCUCACCAGAACGACUCCGACAGUGAGGGACGAAAGCUGGGGGAGCAAACCGGAUUAGAUACCCGGGUAGUCCCAGCCGU
rnacentral:rRNA from 1 species